rnacentral:rRNA from 1 species
UACGUAGGGUGCGAGCGUUGUCCGGAAUUAUUGGGCGUAAAGAGCUCGUAGGCGGUGUGUCAACGUCGUUCGUGAAAACCUGCAGCUUAACUGUGGGCGUGCGGUCGAUACGGGCAUCACUGGAGUUCGGCAGGGGAGACUGGGAAUUCCUGGUGUAGCGGUGAAAUGACGCAGAUAUCAGGAGGAACACCGGUGGCGAAGGCGGGUCUCUGGGCCGAUACUGACGCUGGAGGAGCGAAAGCGUGGGGAGCAAACAGG